GCCGGGCGCGGUGGCUCACGCCUGUAAUCCCAGCACUUUGGGAGGCCGAGGUGGGUGGAUCACCUGAGGUCAGGAGUUUGAGACCAGCCUGGCCAACAUGGUGAAACCCCGUCUCUA
ensembl:misc_RNA Metazoa_SRP Metazoan signal recognition particle RNA